GAUGAACGCUGGCGGCGUGCCUAAUACAUGCAAGUCGAGCGAACAGACGAGGAGCUUGCUCCUCUGACGUUAGCGGCGGACGGGUGAGUAACACGUGGAUAACCUACCUAUAAGACUGGGAUAACUUCGGGAAACCGGAGCUAAUACCGGAUAAUAUAUUGAACCGCGUGGUUCAAUAGUGAAAGACGGUUUUGCCGUCACUUAUAGAUGGAUCCGCGCCGCAUUAGCUAGUUGGUAAGGUAACGGCUUACCAAGGCAACGAUGCGUAGCCGACCUGAGAGGGUGAUCGGCCACACUGGAACUGAGACACGGUCCAGACUCCUACGGGAGGCAGCAGUAGGGAAUCUUCCGCAAUGGGCGAAAGCCUGACGGAGCAACGCCGCGUGAGUGAUGAAGGUCUUCGGAUCGUAAAACUCUGUUAUUAGGGAAGAACAAAUGUGUAAGUAACUAUGCACGUCUUGACGGUACCUAAUCAGAAAGCCACGGCUAACUACGUG
rnacentral:rRNA from 1 species